GAUGAACGCUGGCGGCGUGCCUAAUACAUGCAAGUCGAACGCUUCACUUCGGUGAAGAGUGGCGAACGGGUGAGUAAUACAUAAGUAACCUGGCAUCUACAGGGGGAUAACUGAUGGAAACGUCUGCUAAGACCGCAUAGGUGUAGAGAUCGCAUGAACUCUAUAUGAAAAGUGCUACGGGACUGGUAGAUGAUGGACUUAUGGCGCAUUAGCUUGUUGGUAGGGUAACGGCCUACCAAGGCGACGAUGCGUAGCCGACCUGAGAGGGUGACCGGCCACACUGGGACUGAGACACGGCCCAGACUCCUACGGGAGGCAGCAGUAGGGAAUUUUCGGCAAUGGGGGAAACCCUGACCGAGCAACGCCGCGUGAAGGAAGAAGUAAUUCGUUAUGUAAACUUCUGUCAUAGAGGAAGAACGGUGGAUAUAGGGAAUGAUAUCCAAGUGACGGUACUCUAUAAGAAAGCCACGGCUAACUACGU
rnacentral:rRNA from 1 species